rnacentral:lncRNA from 1 species
UGAGGGGCACUUUGAGCUUUCUUCCUCCUAGCUGCCUGGAAAAAAGUUUUCUCCUGUCUGCUUUUGGACCAAGAUGUAGAACUCUCAGCUCCUUCUCUAGCAUCGUGUCUACCUGGACAUUGCCAUGCUUCCUGUCUUGAUGAUAAUGGACUGAACCUCUGAACCUGUAAGCCAGCCCCAAUUAAAUGUUGUCCUUUAUAAGAGUUGCCUUGGCCCUAGUGUCUCUUCACAGCAACAAAACUCUAAGACAGAGGGCAAAUGACUUCACUGUUGUGGCCUCAUGAGAGGCAUGUAGGAACAGCCUUUCUUCCUGUUAAGUAGAUGGAUUUUUUUUAGUGUUCACAGCUAGUUUUAGCUACACCUGUAAACCCGACUCCUGGGGAGAGUGUGGCUGCUGCCCCUUCACACUUCCAUGCGGUACAGAUGUCGGUCAUAAUUAAAGAUGCCCUGCACACAGGCACUGCACCUGAUAAGACACCCCGUCACCUGGCUACAACCUGCCUGGUUGUGAGUAUGUGCAGGAGAAAGUCAGUGGAGCAAAAGAACCUGCCUCAGGAGUCAGGGCCUGGGAUUGAACUCCCACUACUUAGCCCUUACUGAGCAUCUUCAGGGAAUGUGUUCAAAAGUUAUAGAGAAAAAAGAAGAGGAAGGAAGAAAGGAGGAAGAGAAAGAGGAGGAGAAGCAGCGGCAGGAAGGAUUUUUCUCUAACUAAGGUGGCUGAUUUCGCCUGAGCUUUAAAAAAGUGAACUAAGAAAGCUGACUACAAGCUUCCCCCUUUUGCACUGCCAGGGCAAAGAGAGAGGCCAAGGCCCAAUGUAGAAAUGGCCUGGAUUUAGAAUUGAUUUGAACAAGAAUUCUUUGGUCGCACUUUCCUCCAGCAGCCAUUCAGAUUUAAAGUAACUGAAGGUGAUCCCCACUACCCCUCCAUUUUCACAACUCUACCUUUUCAUAGUCCCCACUGCCCUGAGGGGUGAGUGUUAUCAGCUCAUUUAAAAAGAUCCAAUGGCUCCCCCUUGUGGUUGAGAGCUAGAUUGCCUAGAUGUGCAUAGCCUGGGGCUAUUUUUUCUUUUUAAUUUUAAAUUUGAAAUAACUUCCAUUGCAUUCGGUUUCCACAUCAUUCACGAAAUGCCGCCCAAUUCCAGUCGUCUUUUUAAUCUUGAUUGAAAUGAUCAUCCAUUGAUUACAUCUGUAAUCUCAUCACUAUAGAGAGGUCAAGGUAGAAGGAUGAUAAAUUUGAGUCCAGCUUGGGCUGCACAGCAGACCCUGUUUCAAAAAAGAUUUGAUUUCAAAAAAGUGGUGGCGCACGCCUUUAAUCCCAGCACUCCGGAGGCAGGGGCAGGCGGAUUUCUGAGUUCGAGGCCAGCCUGGUCUACAAAGUGAGUUCCAGGACAGCUAGGGCUAUACAGAGAAACCCUGUCUCAAAAAACAAAACAAAACAACAACAACAAAAAGAUUUGAUACUAGAAAGGAACUCAACAAUAAUGAGUAUGGAGAAAAAGAAAGCCUGGCUCACUGUGGGUAGGUGUGUAAAUCGCUGCAGCUACCAUGGAAAAGGAUCUGGUGGCUAUGCAGAAAAUAAUGACUAGAGCUGCCAUAUGACUCAAUAAACCCCACUCCGUGUCUUUACAGCCAGGGGAAUCGGGAAUCGGGCCCGCUCUUGGGAUGUCGUUCAUUGUCCCAGUGGCAUCUACCAUGAACUAAGCCACAGAGUUCAUCCUGUAUCCUGCUCAAGAAGGGUGACGCUCUGGGCCACACUCUUUUCUUCUUUCCUGACAUCGAUGCAGACAAAUUCUUGGAGUCAAGUCUGUGGAAAACAAGAGGUUACUCAGCUAUCUCUGGCUGCCAAUGUCCUUGCAGGCAGCCCCCACAGUAUCUCAGUUGUUAAGCUGAUCUGACGGAAGAACGUCAUUUUCAAACUAAGAGUUGGGAGUGAAAUGACUUUCUUUUUUCCAUUAAAGCGACAUGUGUACAUGCUAGAAAGAGAGAGGGAAAAAAAAAAACCAAAACAGUGUAGACAAAUUAAGAAUUAAAUUUCCUGUCCCCUCAAUGUUUCUUGUGCUGGUUCCUUCCUCCAUUUAGACUUCCGGUUUCCGGUUUCUGAGUGUUUGGUCUGCUUCUCCCAGUAGACAUACCAGUCAACUAGUGAGUUACCUAAGAGGAAUUUGGAAGCUGAGUAAGGAAAUGAAAGCGGUCCAGGUUUAUUUCAUUAUGAUCAGAUGCCCGAAAAUAAAUCUAGAUCAUCAUUAUGUGCCCACAAAGAGAACAACUUGGCACCGGCAGAGAGGUAUUUCAUUAUAAGUUGGAUGUGUUAUGGUAUUAGAUGUUUUGUUUCAUUAUGUUCUCAUUUAUUGACAGGCCAACGCGACCGCAGAGAAUGUGGAGUCCCUGCCAGUCCUUUGCUGACCUCCAGUACUGUU